UCUACGGGAGGCAGCAGUAGGGAAUCUUCGGCAAUGGACGCAAGUCUGACCGAGCAACGCCGCGUGAGUGAAGAAGGUUUUCGGAUCGUAAAGCUCUGUUGUCAGCAAAGAACAGGAGAAAGAGGAAAUGCUUUUUCUAUGACGGUAGCUGACCAGAAAGCCACGGCUAACUACGUGCCAGCAGCCGCGGUAAUA
rnacentral:rRNA from 1 species